GAUAAACGCUGGCGGCGUGCUUAACACAUGCAAGUCGAACGAAGUUUUUCCUUCGGGAGCAACUUAGUGGCGGACGGGUGAGUAACGCGUGGGUAACCUGCCCUGUACAGGGGGACAACAGCUGGAAACGGCUGCUAAUACCGCAUAAGCACUUAGCACUGCAUGGUGCAUAGGGAAAAGGAGCAAUCCGGUACAGGAUGGACCCGCGUCUGAUUAGCCAGUUGGCAGGGUAACGGCCUACCAAAGCGACGAUCAGUAGCCGAUCUGAGAGGAUGUACGGCCACAUUGGGACUGAGACACGGCCCAGACUCCUACGGGAGGCAGCAGUGGGGAAUAUUGCACAAUGGAGGAAACUCUGAUGCAGCGACGCCGCGUGAGUGAAGAAGUAUUUCGGUAUGUAAAGCUCUAUCAGCAGGGAAGAAAAUGACGGUACCGGACUAAGAAGCACCGGCUAAAUACGUG
rnacentral:rRNA from 1 species